GGAGUUGUGGCUUGGUGGUAAAGCAUUUGCCUAGCAUGCAUGAGACACUGGGUUCAAUCCCCAGCACCA
rnacentral:tRNA from 1 species